AUUGAACGCUGGCGGCAGGCCUAACACAUGCAAGUCGAACGAGUGGCGGACGGGUGAGUAAUGCCUGGGAAACUGCCUGAUGGAGGGGGAUAACUACUGGAAACGGUAGCUAAUACCGCAUACCAUCAGAUGUGCCAAGAUGGGAUUAGCUAGGUGGUGGGGUAACGGCUCACCAGGGCGACGAUCCCUAGCUGGUCUGAGAGGAUGACCAGCCACACUGUAACUGAGACACGGUCCGAACUCCUACGGGGGGCAGCAGGGGGGAAUAUUGCACAAUGGGCGCAGGCCUGAUGCAGCCAUGCCGCGGGUAUGAAGAAGGCCUUCGGGUUGUAAAGUACUUUAAGCGGGGAGGCGUGACCCGCAGAAGAAGCACCGGCUAACUCCGUGCCAGCAGCCGCGGUAAUUC
rnacentral:rRNA from 1 species